rnacentral:rRNA from 1 species
AGAACGAACGCUGGCGGCAUGCCUAAUACAUGCAAGUCGAACGAACACUUCGGUGUUAGUGGCGCACGGGUGCGUAACGCGUGGGAAUCUGCCCUUGGGUUCGGAAUAACAGUUGGAAACGACUGCUAAUACCGGAUGAUAUCGAAAGAUCAAAGAUUUAUCGCCCAGGGAUGAGCCCGCGUAGGAUUAGCUAGUUGGUGAGGUAAAGGCUCACCAAGGCGACGAUCCUUAGCUGGUCUGAGAGGAUGAUCAGCCACACUGGGACUGAGACACGGCCCAGACUCCUACGGGAGCAGCAGUAGGGAAUAUUGGACAAUGGGCGCAAGCCUGAUCCAGCAAU